rnacentral:rRNA from 2 species
GUAGGUGGCAAGCGUUGUCCGGAUUUAUUGGGCGUAAAGCGAGCGCAGGCGGUUUCUUAAGUCUGAUGUGAAAGCCCCCGGCUCAACCGGGGAGGGUCAUUGGAAACUGGGAGACUUGAGUGCAGAAGAGGAGAGUGGAAUUCCAUGUGUAGCGGUGAAAUGCGUAGAUAUAUGGAGGAACACCAGUGGCGAAGGCGGCUCUCUGGUCUGUAACUGACGCUGAGGCUCGAAAGCGUGGGGAGCAAACAGGAUUAGAUACCCUGGUAGUCCACGCCGUAAACGAUGAGUGCUAAGUGUUGGAGGGUUUCCGCCCUUCAGUGCUGCAGCUAACGCAUUAAGCACUCCGCCUGGGGAGUACGACCGCAAGGUUG